rnacentral:rRNA from 1 species
CAAAACGACUGCUAAGACUGGAUAGGAGACAAGAAGGCAUCUUCUUGUUUUUAAAAGACCUAGCAAUAGGUAUGCUUAGGGAGGAGCUUGCGUCACAUUAGUUAGUUGGUGGGGUAAAGGCCUACCAAGACUAUGAUGUGUAGCCGGGCUGAGAGGUUGAACGGCCACAUUGGGACUGAGACACGGCCCAAACUCCUACGGGAGGCAGCAGUAGGGAAUUUUCGGCAAUGGAGGAAACUCUGACCGAGCAACGCCGCGUGAACGAUGAAGUAUUUCGGUACGUAAAGUUCUUUUAUUAGGGAAGAAUAAAUGAUGGAAAAAUCAUUCUGACGGUACCUAAUGAAUAAGCCCCGGCUAACUAUGUGCCAGCAGCCGCGGUAAUACAUAGGGGGCAAGCGUUAUCCGGAAUUAUUGGGCGUAAAGGGUGCGUAGGCGGUUAAAUAAGUUUAUGGUCUAAGUGCAAUGCUCAACAUUGUGAUGCUAUAAAAACUGUUUAGCUAGAGUAAGAUAGAGGCAAGUGGAAUUCCAUGUGUAGUGGUAAAAUGCGUAAAUAUAUGGAGGAACACCAGUAGCGAAGGCGGCUUGCUGGGUCUUUACUGACGCUGAGGCACGAAAGCGUGGGGAGCAAACAGGAUUAGAUACCCUGGUAGUCCACGCCGUAAACGAUGAGUACUAAACGUUGGGUAAAACCAGUGUUGAAGUUAACACAUUAAGUACUCCGCCUGAGUAGUACGUACGCAAGUAUGAAACUUAAAGGAAUUGACGGGACUCCGCACAAGCGGUGGAUCAUGUUGUUUAAUUCGAAGGUACCCGAAAAACCUCACCAGGUCUUGACAUGCUUCUGCAAAACUGUAGAAACACAGUGGAGGUUAUCAGUUGCACAGGUGGUGCAUGGUUGUCGUCAGCUCGUGUCGUGAGAUGUUGGGUUAAGUCCCGCAACGAGCGCAACCCUUAUUGUUAGUUACCAGCACGUAAUGGUGGGGACUUUAGCAAGACUGCCGGUGAUAAAUUGGAGGAAGGUGGGGACGACGUCAAAUCAUCAUGCCCCUUAUGACCUGGGCUACAAACGUGAUACAAUGGCUGUUACAAAGGGUAGCUGAAACGCAAGUUUUUGGCGAAUCUCAAAAAAACAGUCUCAGUUCGGAUUGAAGUCUGCAACUCGACUUCAUGAAGUUGGAAUCGCUAGUAAUCGCGAAUCAGCAUGUCGCGGUGAAUACGUUCUCGGGGUUUGUACACACCGCCCGUC